ensembl:lncRNA
GAAUAAAUUAUUUUAUCUUCCUGAUUGAAAAAAAAAUGAUUUUUUUUUUUUUUUUUUUUUUUUUUUUUUUUUGUGUUUUUGUCUUUAUAUUAAUAUAUAUAUAUUUAUAUAUUUAUACUACUUACAUGUUUGUACAUAUUAACAUAACCAUGUAUACUACUUUUUUUCUCUUUUUUGAAACUAUAUUUUUAGCACAUUUUUAAGGCUCUCUAAAAUAUUGUCCUUAUCAUCUGUUACUUCAAGAAGUAAAGCACAAGAAUUGAUAAAAAACGGGAAUGUAAAAGUUAGUUGUAUAAAUAAUUAUUUUUAUUUAUUCUUAAAAUGAGUAUAUUUUUAUAUGCAUUAUUUAUUAUGUUUUUACAUCAUAUGGUUUUCCCGUAUCCUUUAGAAUGUUAACUUUUUUUUUUUUUUUUUUUUUUUUUUUUUUUUUUUUUUUUUUUUUUUUACGUGUAUACUUGUGUAGGUACAUAUGCGUAGGUGCACAUUUUUUUUUUUCUUUCCUUUUUGUACUUCUCAGGUAAACAACCAAGUUCUACGUCAAAAUAUAGUGGUAGACGUAAAUUCAAAAAUUGAAGUAAAUAAUAAACAAAUUGAUGUAGAUAUUAGUACAAAAUUAUGGGGAAUAUACAAACCUAAAAAUGUUUUUUGUAGUAGCGAGAAAGAUUAUGACUACGAGGAAAAAAAACAGAUCACUCCGAGUAGUAGAUGUAAGAGUGCUAACGUAUAUAAGACACAAUGUUACUCAGAUUACUCUAAACAACAACUAACACACAAUGGGAAUAAUACAAAAAACACGGCUACUAAAUAUUUAACAUAUGACAAACAUAGUAAUAUAAAUAACCGAAAUAUUAAUGAACAAGUGCUAAUUUUAAGUAAAAAAUAUCCAUUGGAUAUUUAUGACUAUGACUAUAAUAGUAAUAACAUUAAUCAAAGAAAGACUAACAAAAAUGUCAACUUUAUAGCAAUGAGAAAAAAAAAAUUAUUAUUAAAUACGAAUGAAAAUAGUAGUGAAUUUACCAACUAUGGUUGCUCUAACUAUGACUCCAACACUUCUAAACUAGCUGUAAAUCUUUUUGACUAUAUAAGAAAGAAAAACAUUUUAUAUGAAGAAAAAAAUAAAAUAAUCAACACUAUACCUGAACAUUUAAUAAUCGUUAAUAGUCUUGACACUUUAAGUGAAGGUCUUGUACUUUUAACAAAUGAUGGAGAUUUUGCAAAAAAAUUAAAAGAUAUACAAAAUAAUAUACUAACUACAUAUAUUAUAAAAGUGCAAGAAGAAUUAACAACAAACAAUUUAGACUUAUUAAAAAAAGGUUGUAUGAAUAUGGAUAAUACAUAUUUGAUACGACCUUUAAAUAUACACAUUAUUAAACAUAAAAAUUGCUAUUCAACAAAGUGGUUAAAUAUAACAUAUGUAGAGAGGUCUCAAAACGAUUUACAUUAUUUAUUUCAAAAAUAUAACAUAACUAUAAGGAAAUGUAAAAGGUACUCAUUCGGACCAUAUAUUUAUUCUGAUUUGUAUAAGCAUUUUAUAAAACCAUUAAAAAUACAUUCUACUCUCACUCAUCUUAUACCCAAAUAUGAUACCAAAUUAACUUUGGCUAACCCCCAUGGAAACAUUCAAAUUGAUAAAAACAACAAAUGCAUUUUAAUUAAAAAUUAUUUAAAGUACUCAGUUCUUGCUAAAUGAGCUUUUAACCGUAUGUGGUGUGUGCAUG